GGGGGCGACCGGUUUCGACGGGAAGCUCUUUUAAAAGACGGCAAGCAGACUUUGAUUAGUAGUCUUAAAACAAUAAUCAAAAACUAGCGUCAAUAAACCUAGUCAUAAUUUUGCCUUCGCUUAAAAAACGUUUUAAGGCAAAUGUUCUGAAGGAGGCGCUUCUUGACCGCGCCUUUAGGGCAUAAACCUGUCAAGAUGCAGCAGAAUCCCUCUGAUUUAAGGGUUCUACUUAAGAAAUUUAAAUCUUAUUCUAAUUUUUUUGGGUUACUUUAAAGGUUGGAAGAAAUUACAAGGUAACCUAAGCUUGUAGAAGUCUUUUAGUUGACUUUUCGGACGAGGGUUCAAUUCCCUCCGCCUCCACAA
rnacentral:tmRNA from 1 species